UACGUAGGGUGCGAGCGUUAAUCGGAAUUACUGGGCGUAAAGAGCUCGUAGGUGGUUCGUUACGUCGGAUGUGAAAAUCUGGGGCUCAACCCCAGACCUGCAUUCGAUACGGGCGAACUAGAGUGUGGUAGGGGAGACUGGAAUUCCUGGUGUAGCGGUGGAAUGCGCAGAUAUCAGGAGGAACACCAAUGGCGAAGGCAGGUCUCUGGGCCAUUACUGACACUGAGGAGCGAAAGCGUGGGGAGCGAACAGG
rnacentral:rRNA from 1 species